UACGGAGGGUGCGAGCGUUGUCCGGAAUCAUUGGGCGUAAAGCGCGCGUAGGCGGCCCGGUAAGUCCGCUCUGAAAGUCCAGGGCUCAACCCUGGAAAGCGGGUGGAUACUGCCGGGCUAGAAUCCGGAAGAGGCGAGUGGAAUUCCUGGUGUAGCGGUGGAAUGCGCAGAUAUCAGGAGGAACACCGGUGGCGAAGGCGGCAUCCUGGACCAACACUGACACUGAGGAGCGAAAGCCAGGGGAGCAAACGGG
rnacentral:rRNA from 1 species